GAGAAGAAUGGAGCCUGGCGCAGCGUCACCGUUACCUAGCGAGUCACUUAGCAACAGGCAACAUCUGUUUCGCCGGGGGCCAAUCAGGAGGCGGCAAGGCGCGUGUAUUGCUCUCCGUUGCGAAGGUGAUAUUUUCAGAGUGAGUAUUCUUGAGUAUUCUUCAGGGAUCCAGAGCGACCGAGCCAGCGGCAGGAAGCAGCAGCCCCACACUGCCUCAGAGGCUGCUUUUUAGGGACCUGUGGAGAUAAUGCCCCGCUGACCCGGCCGCCCCGCAGGCAGGCACGCGCGCAGUGUGACGGGACUGCUGCUGAUCUGGACUAGUUUGUGGAGGACAUGUUUGUUAGAGCGAGGAGCAAUGAUCAGGUGAAGAGAGUCGUUAUCGGAAAGUUGUUCGAGCUUGCUUAUGUACUACUGCAGCUCUCAGGGUCUUCCCGCUGAGUGCGCCCUAAACAGUCAACAACGUCGAAAGUCGCCUACUUUAAGAGGAAAUAUGCGGAAGAGGAGGAUGUCCAGGGAGGCCUACAUGGAUAUUUACAAAAACACCUGAUCUUACGCGAGGAGCGCAGCUGCAUUCUGCGUCUCUCACUACAGAAACUGCGUUUCCUGGAUGAUCCUGAGGCCUACCUGCGGCGCUCUGUCCUCAUCAACAACCUGCUGCGUAAGAUCCAUCUGGAUGAGGGCCAGCGCGAGCGAGAUAAGCAGAGGAAUGAGGAGGAAGAGGAGAAGGACUUGGACACGCAGAGACUGUUUUACACAGGAUGCAAAAAACUGAAGGUGGUAAUGGCUGAAUGCUGCUCGCAACCUUUCGGCCUCCAGGACAUUCAGCCAUACAGGCUGUUGCAGUACACCACCUCCCAGGCCUUGUGCCCCUGCGGCCUGACGGGAUGUCCCGCACUGCCUUCACCUGACCACGGACCUCCAAUACUGCUCUACCAGCUCAGUGACAAAUGAUGAUGACCCAGUCCGUUUAAGCUGGAGAUGAGUGUUUUAGCGUGGGGUGAAAGGUCACCCGUACUUAGACAUUAAUCUAACGCUUAAACAGACUGGGAGACCAUCAGUUGUUAUUGAGCUGGUAGAGCAGUAUUGAAGGUGUUUGGUUUAGGCGGCAGUUUGUUUACAGCUGCCAAACAGUGGCAGAAGCCUCAAUGUUGAAGAGAAGAAGGUGCAUUCUGGUUGGGCUUCUCCGUGCACUUCUAUAGCUUUAGAUAAAUAAGCUCUGAAAUCACAAUCCCUGCAGAACUGCAGGUAGAACUGCACUGACUAUCGGUGAAUCAGGGUCUGCUUUCUUUUCUUCUAGGACACAAAAACAUGGACUACUUCAGUCAAGCCUAACUGCCUCUCUGAAUUUUAAACAAAAGACCCUUAGGGCUUUUAUUUUGCUUUGUUUAUGCUUAAAUGAUCUAUAACCUAUUUAAGAAUUUUUCAGGGAAAGAAAGACAAAAAACAAGCCAUGCACUUUGUGUUUAUGUAAAUAAAUUUAAAAUAUGUUGUCAAGUGUUGCUUCACUAAAUGGAAAAUUGGUAGUUGUUUCGCUUUGCGAGCCCCAAACAAAUUCCAAAGAGAGAUGUUAUAAAUGGAAUUCUGCUCUGGCAUAUCAUAUGAGGGCUCUAAAAUAUGUGUGCUUAUGUGAGGAUAAGCAUGUGAGGUACCUUUUGAUAAGAGUUUUGAAAGACUUUAAUAAUUAAACGAUUACUAGAUGGUACUCUGCUGCCCUCUAGUGUGGAUUCCAGCUAAAGUAAGGGUCCACUUCUUGGCCCUUUAUUUAGAUUGAUGUCUGUUCUGGUUCUGUUUUUUGGAUAAUCCUGGCAUAUUUUGGAUAGUUGCAAACAAAAAUCUGAAAGCUAAAAUUUCCAUUCUGGAAAAUUUUCAAAACACAAUACUAAUGUUUUAAACUUAUAAAAAAACAUCUUUCGCACAGUCAUUUUUAAUCCAGCCUAUUGCACUUAGUAACUGACAAACAGCUCAUAACAAUGGCUUUUAUUUACAGUUUUUGUUACUUUAGAUAAGAGGUUACUUUACAUUAAUGUAGACCAAUUGGAAAAAAAAUCUAGAAAGUGUGAUGGUCACAUACUUUGCAGCAAAUGUACACAAGAUUCUCUGACAAGUGAAGCAAUGGUAAAAACAUAUCCUGUAUUUUAUUAUGCCAUGCAAUGUCAACUAUUACCUUUAAACCCUCUUUUUGUAUCCGUGUAUGUUUGAAUGGUGGUGUUGGUCUUGUCUCUGUUUCAAUACCUGAAUGUACAACUGAUGACUGAAUUUGAAAUGGAGAGACACAUGAACAUAUGGUUUAUUUUCAAUGUCUUUAUUUUUGUUAAAAUAUAAAAAAUAGCCAUGUACUUCUCAGAUGUUAACCAUAUUUUGCCAAAAAGACUUAAAAGUAGCAGCAGAGAUCUGUCUAUUUUUCAGGUAUUGCAAUCGAAUAAAAAUUCAAGUUAAA